AACCAGAUGCUCCGCAGGGUGCAGUUUUAUACGACUGCAGAGGUCGAACCCUGAACAGUUGGGGCAAGUAUGGACACAACAUUUAAGCUUGAUACAGCUCUGAAUUUGGAUUGUGAUUAAAUAGUUGACACAACAUAGGUUUCUGACACAGAAUGAAUGUGGUCAAAGAAGUUAAACUUAACAAGAGGCUGUCACAACGACAGCAAACCGGAUUUAUUAAUAUUUAUUUGUGUCCUGGCAAUAUCACAAGAACCGUUACUGAUGAAUGGUGAAAGAGAAAAUCGUCAAUAUCAAAUUUGACCUCCAUUUUGUCAUCAGUAUCAACAUAUUAAAAUUUGAAAAGCUUAGAUUGAAUGGUUCAUGAGUAAAUGCAACAACGUGAAUGGAAACGCCAUCUUACAAUCUUUCAAGAACCAUAACUCCUAAACGGUAAAAGUCAAAAUCGUCAUUAUUGAACUUGACCUCUAUUUUGCCAUCAGUAACAACAUAUAAAAAUUUCAAAAGCUUUGGUUGAAUGGUUCAUGAGAAAAUGCACGGACACGACUGGAAACACCAUUUUUCAAUCUUUCAAGAACCAUAACUCCUGAACGGUAAAAGUCAAAAUCGUCUUUAUUGAACUUGACCUCUAUUUUGUCAUCAGUAACAACAUAUUAAAAUUUGGGAAGCUUUGGUAAAACAGUUCAUGUGUAAAUGCACGGACACGACUGGAAACUUCAUUUUUCAAUCUUUCAAGAACCAUAACUCCUGAACGGUAAAAGUCAAAAUCGCCAUUAUUGAACUUGACCUUCAUUUAGUUGUCAGUAACAACAUAUUAAAAUUUUAAAAGCUUUGGUUGAACGGUUCAUGAGUUAAUGCACGGACAACAUUUGAUUGCCG
rnacentral:lncRNA from 1 species